CUGAGGUUCACCCUUCACCUCGAGAGUAACCUGCAUAAUCCAACAAGAAAAAGGGACUCAACACCUUCAUUUCCUACGAGUUUCAGAAUUUUGCAGAUUGGCCGACCAAGCAGUGCCCAUGCUCCUUGACAUGCCAAAUACAUAUUGGAGCAACUACUGAUAUGAGCAUUGAACUUUGAUAAGGAAGACGGAGAGACCAAAUCUCACGGUAACAUUUAGGUAAGCAUCAUUUCUUCUAGGUUAUAUGUCUACAGAUUUUAAAGGAAACGAGAAAUCCAUUGAAAAUGCGUAUCCCAAGAGCAAUUAAGAUCUAUCGCCCAA